AAUAUCGUUCAUGAAAGAGUAAGACAUGCAGUGUAGCUAGAAUCCGUAGUACAGGACGCCUUUCUUCUCCCUUCCUUCACUUUGAACUGGUGGAGAUGACUCUGGUGGAGAUGCUUUGGGGAGGACAAUGGACGAGUGGAGAGCACUAAGUCCAUCAUUCUUGUGAGCCACCAUCCAUGCAAAUACAAAGAUCUCCUUGGACUGCAUCUGCCAGUGGAACCUUUAGGAAGUGAGGCCUCGAGGGAGGUGCUGUGGAGCGCCAGUCUCUUCCUGUUUCCUUUUUACUUCCUGGCUCCUGCAGUGAGAGUUCUGCCCUGCCACACAUUCCCACCUGCCAUCAUGCUGCCUCGCCAGGGACGCAAAGCGGUAAAGCUACAUUGCCAUGGACUAGAACCUCUGCAACGGCGAGCCAUAAUAAACCUUUCUCUUUAUCGUAUUUGAUGAUGCCAAAUGAGUUACAUCUGUUUGCAGAGUCCAGCGAUGACUGAUAAGAAUUCAAUUCCUAACCAAGGAGGUAAGACUUCUACAGUGAAAAUUACAGUACACUGAAGAAUGACAUCAAAGAAGACACUAGAAGAUACAAAGACCUUGCAUGUUCAUGGACUGGCAGAAUUAAUAUGGUUAAA